UUAGUUUCUGUUCUCUUCCUUGUAGAAUACGUUUUAAGGAAGAGACUGACAGUCGUAGAGCAUUUUCAUUCUCAUUUAGAACCGAUGAAGUUCGUUAAGCCUAACAGUAUUUCUGAGCAGAUUACCUUCAGUUAUUCCAAGUUCGGAAGUGAGCUGAACGUUUUAUCUAUUAAAGGAUUUGAUUCAAAGAUAGAUCCAACCAGGUUCAUGUCGUUACACUGCCACUUAUUCCCAAAUUUUGACUUUUGCCCAUCCUGAACCGAAGCCACUUGAUUCAGGUCAUUAGGAUAGUUUUCAUUCAAAUGGAUAGAGGGCACUUCAACGGCAGGUGGCGCUAGUUGAUUCAGCGCAGUAAAACGUGAAAGUGUCAUAAAUCAUCGGAUGAAGAGGAACGGUAAAAUCUCCGAAAGGAAGAUCGCUAAAACAUUGUUCUGACAGUGAAUCAAACUACUACGUUUCAUUGGGUUCCGGAAGCCAAAGUAACAAAUCCUUUUCCGCCAGGAGAGCUAUUUGACGGCAACAAUAUGGUUAUGGAACGGCGACAAUGUGGUUAUGGAACGGCGACAAUAUGGUUAUGGAACGGCGACAAUAUGGUUAUGAAACAGCGACAAUAUGGUUAUGAAACGGCAACAAUGUGGUUAUGAAACGGCAACAAUGUGGUUAUGAAACGGCAACGAUGUGGUUAUGAAACGGCGACAAUGUGGUUAUGAAACGGCGACAAUGUGGUUAUGAAACGGCAACAAUGUGGUUAUGGAACGGCAACAAUAUGGUUAUAGCUGUGCUACCGUUCUUUGUUGAUGAAAGCCCUUAUAUGCCUUUUGAUACACGAAUAAAUAAAUACAUUCCAUCAUAA